UGACUUUUACCGGUCUGGCCCUGUUAGCGCUGCGCUAGCGUGUUUUUGCCGUUUCGCAGUGAUUUUUACCAGUAUGUUUUUUUUUUAACCGGCCCUAUUAGCGCGGUUCUACAGUUAGCGUUAGCACGGCGCUAGCAUUAGCGUUAGCGUUAGACUCUCUGUGUACUGUCUUUCGAUGUAAAUACCUUGUGUUUCAAUGUGGCCACUUGUGGCUUUUACACAGCUGCGGCGUACGUAUGUACCAAAUGGUAUUUCCUCUACAAAUGUACUGGGUGAGGCUUCUAACCAGGUGCGCUCUGUAGGCCGGGACUUUCGCUAAAUCUAACUGUCAGUCCUGUCAUACUUGAACAUGGCCACAUGCUCUCUUUUUUUCUGAUCAAUUUCCAAGAUGAGCUUUAGCCACCAGAUUGCUUGACAGAUUAUACAAAAACCAAUUGUGAGAAUUUCUCUGUGUGCAAGACUAAAACAAAAAAGUUGUUUAAAAUGAAAAGGAUAUUCAUAUAUUUAAUUCUGUAUGGAAAAUAUUGGUACAUUUAGGGUAAAAAAAUGAAGAUUGUCCGUCCUUCUUCCACUGAGAGGACACAAUUGUGGAGCGUGUGGGAAUUUUUGUCCAUUCAUUCAAAAGGUCAAAGGUCACCGAGCUCGCACAAGAGGGCCUGGCACACCCGUCUCUGGUUCUCCGUGUCGGACCGGUCAAGUUUUCCCCAGCCAAAGUGAUCCGAGCAUGCGCCGUAUGUAUUUCGGAAAGGGAGGACCUUCCGCAAAUUCUCGCCGCAACGUUGGAAGCGUAGAAUAGUCAAACACUCUUGUCAUAUGAAGAAAAGGGAUUCGAGGGAAACCACGUGGCCGAGCGCAGCCCUUCAAUUGCGUUUUUUUGUUCCAGACAAGGCCGUCCUUGUGCCUUCCGUUUCACGCCGUUUUGUAUGGACCGCGGCUCUCGCGGCUUCAGCUCGUCACACAACGACGCCGAUACGGAAUGUACAGUAUUGGCGACGGUUACAGUAAGCGCAAUAUCAUGAGCGGGACUUAAAGUGAAUGAAUCGGCGCGGCUAAAUUUGUCCCUUAUAGCAGAUUUGGCGUCGCCUUUAAUCAGCGCGACGCUGACGCUCUCGUCCAAACAAGAUGUUCCAAAACAUCUUUGCUUUAUUUAGUCCAAAUGCUUUAUUACUGCUUAUUCCGCGCUCACCUCACAGCCCCCGCAUGUCCGACUAAAGCCUCCCUCGCCGCGUUACGUCUGUUUACCCUUGUUUUGUGUUGUCUUGGCAUGUCCAAUCGCUUCUUAGCUUUCAUCAAGCGGGGCUUUCUGACCCGCGUGAUUUCGAUUCGCCGGCGUGGCUAACACGGGCAAUUUUCGCAUUGCCACAUCCUGUUUCAAUUUGUCGACGGCAAAGUGGGGAGCGGAGGGCGCAAACGCCAUGUAUGUCGACCGUAUCGCAGGAUAAAUAAAUUAUACAUAUUUAACUUUUAUAGCUGGAAACAAUUUAAGGUUUUUUGUUGUUGUUUCUGAUGCAAGUUUAGGUUUCAAGUAACUCAUCAUAUUUUGUUCAUUAUCCACAAGAAGCCUUUCUGACCUGUUUUCCGGCUUUGGUCGGUCACGUGGGGUUCACUAUGUAAAAGAUUAAAAUGAAAUUAGCGCUAUUAGAUGGCGGCACGGCACCACGGUGGAUCAUCUGGUAAAGCGUUGGCCUCACAGUUCUGAGGUCCCUGAGGCCCGCACACAGGCGAGUCCGGGAUUGAACCCGGUACCUCAGAACUGCUUUUCCAGCUGAUCCACCGUGCUGCCGCUUUAUAUUAUUUUGUUUAAAAAAUGGAAUCCAACCAGCACUUCAUUGAUUAUAUUUCCAUUUGUUUCUAAAGCAUACAACAGGCAGCUUUAAGCUGUUUUAAAAUACUUUUGUUCAAGUGUACUAAGUUUGAUCAAUCGAAGAAACAAAGUACGUGGUUGAAAGUGACCGCCUUAUGCGCAAAAUUAUAUAUACUGUAUACAUGGAAAAAAUUGCAACCUUCAAAGUAUUUUGAACACUUUCAAAAAUACAUUCUACAUUAUUUCAAACGAUUUGUAAGGCUGCACUUGAAGGCCUUGGAUGCUGAGUUUGUCCUCCGGAUAGUCUGUGCAACAGUGCGGAUUGCGAAGCUCCGUCAUGCGCUGUUUGGAGGAGGAGAUUCGGAUUCGGGCGUAAAUCUGAAGCUAUUAGCUCUAAUUCGUGAGUUUACUAGUUGCUUGGACAAGGCAGGCAAGCAAACUAAGGCCUCGAGCUCCAGCCUAUGAGCAAAGCAACAUUGUGAGCGAAUUAAAAAAAAAAAAAAUCGAUUCUUCCCUCAACAUAGCAACUCGCUCCGGAUUGGUUGGCAAGCUUCGCGUUCUCGGUCUCUCAUUGGCCUGAACGCGAAGGAAUCGGACGGAGACACAGAGGAGGAGUGACGUGAUUGGACGCGGCCGCGCUGAAUGCCUCAAGCUAUUUUCCCGAAAGCCUGGAAGUCAGUUCAUGGUCCCUCUAGUCCAACAUUCAAAGGUGUGACAAAUAAAAGUAAUUCGUCUCAUUGCUGCCUUGUUUUCAGACUUGUUUAGAUGCAGAACUUCAGUGCACGGCUGAGUCGUGUGCGUGCGUGCGUGCGUGCUGACGAAUGAAAGUGGAAAUGAAAAUGAAGACUGAAGGAAACGCAGAGGAUGUGUGUAUUAUUUUGGAGAGGAAAAGGCGUGGAGCUGGGAUUUUACUUCAGAGGGAAGGGAGGGAGCUUGGGGAAGAAGAGAAAAAAAAAAAAGAGAUUGAGUUAGUCAAAGUGCUGUGUCGGCAAGUUACUUUGGGAGGGAGUCAGCUUUGGUGGAAGAUUUCAGCUUUUAGGAAACGUUCGAGGGCCCAAAGUAACCGCCCCUCAACGAGGGGCUGACUCAGUGCUGUUCCAGGGCGUCCCCCCUCCCCUAGUGUUCGAGAAGGAAGGUCCGAGCGGUCCUGGUAACGGGACCUUUGCUGACACAGACUGUCCGCGGUACGUUGUCCUGUGGCUUCUCUCUGCGCUGACCCCGGGACGAAGCUGAGUGGAAUACAAUGGGUGCACAAGUUAAGAAACGUUCGAUCAACCUUGGUGUUGUGAUUGCAAUUAUAUUCUAACGCAAAGAAUUUCACCAAGCGUGGCUGUCCGAAAAAAAAAAAAAAAAGAGAGUAGCACAAGACUGAGUAAAAUGACAAAACCCUCAUCAGUUUAUUGUCUUUCAGCAAGAAAAAGGUCAGGAUCUCACAUUGCUCAGCUUCACUCAUUUCCGCCAUCAUUUGGAGGUUGUUUUUUUACUAUAUGAGGCCAAAUAGACCUCAUCCAGAGUAGGAACCUCAGAAAUACAUUUUAGUUUCUGUUGUUCCCAAACUUGGCGGAAUUUGUGCCCGCUUAAAGACGGAUUCCUUGCGCUGUUACUCACGGAGGCUGCGUGUCAUGUAAGACAUUCAUAGCUGGAGCAAUGCCACAAUUCAAGUAAUGGAGGCAGGAUACUUCCGGACACCCCGCCGUUCAAAUCGGACGCCAUAUCUUACCGACACCACCAAAGAGUGCAUUUUCUUUUUGUGGUGCGCGUCAACCAUUCACCACGGCGUAACCUUCACACAUUGCAACAAUAGAAAUACUGUUGGAUUGCACUUUCUUCAAGCUCUCAUCUUGUGGCAUGUUUGUAGAAAAAAAUAGAGAAUACAAAAAGCUUAUACUUUGAGUAACAGAAUAUAACAUACAGUACUUCGGAUUAUGUUUUCAUCAGCAGGUGUAGAUAAAUUGCCAUUAGCUUGCCCAAUUGCGUGGAACGGGCAAAACAGGGGAUGUCAUUUUGCUCUCUAUCAAGUGCUUUGGUCAAUGGGUAUAACAUUGAGUAUGUUUUUUUUUUUUUUUUUAAAUAAUAGUUUCCUACAGGAUGUUAAUGCUACAUAACUAUGAACGGGGGGGGGCAAAUUGUCAAGAUGCACCACAAUUUUUCACAAA